AUGAAUGCUAUUCAUUGUUGUAACCGCAAGAAAUUCAAUAUCGCAAGAAUGAGCCAAACUGGUCCUAUUACUCAAUCUGAUAUUGUUAACAACCUUAUUCAGGGUGAAACAACUGAAGCUCCACCUCCAUUGGUACAAAGUAAUAAAACAAACAAUGAUGAAGAAAAUGCUAAUAAGAAAAGAAAGAUUGGAGAAGCUUCAAAAUUGGUCACAUCCAAUGAUCCUAAUGUUGUAGCUGGAGAUUAA